AGUGAACCAUAUAAUUAUUAUAAGAUUUUAUUUGGAGUUCAACCCAAUGGGGUAUUUACCUAAGGAAGGGUUUUUGUGCAAAGUAUGCCAACCCAAUAUGUUUAUUGGAGUUUAAACUAAUUUAUGAAACAAACGUUUCAUAAUAGAUUUCAAAACCUAUUUUAUGUAUUACUUAUAAAGCCUAAUGACAUUUAUAUAAGCAAAAGUAUUUUUACUUAUUUUAUUUUCAAAGGAUUCAAGUCCCAAAAGUUCACACUUUGGAGUAUUUGAAUUUACAAAUUUACUGGAGUUUAUUUGGACUUCUUUGGAGUUAGGAAUCAAAAGUUAUUAAUAAAAACUGAAAUAGAAAAAAAAAUAAAAAAAAGAGAAUGGACCGACCCAAACUGGGCCGGCCCAUCUCCACUGAGCGCCUCAGCCCAGCCAGCGAGCACGAACACGAGAUCGUGUUCUUCCUCCUCUGCAAGUAAAGGAAACCCCUCCUUCCAUAUUUUCUUUCUUCGAUUUUUUUCCUUCCCGCGCGUCUCUCUUCGAAAAGAAACCACCCCAUCAAUCCUCACCAUCCCGGGACCCGAUUCAGACAAUCAACUUAAAGUUUCCUCUCAUAAUCGCAGUUUCCAAAAAAGGCGCCCCGAAUGCCGCCCGUCGACAUCCUGCGCCCGAUCUCCCUCCUCGGCCAGUAUAAAGGAUGCCACGCGCGUCACUUUGAGCCUUUGUCUCUCCUCUCCCAAUCCCAUGUAGUAAGUUUGGCCUCAAAACGUCUGUAUAGCCGGCUACGUUGACGUCUUUCUUCGCCCGUCGCCUUCGCCAUUGUUGCCGGUGAGCUCUCUCCGAAGGUCCGUUUUUAAAUUUCUUUCACCGGUGCGCUCAUGUGACCAUCUCCUACCUCCGUGACAAGGUUAUACGAUUCAUCUCCAUCAUUGGCCGUGCCGUCCCCGACUCCAAGCCGACGCCGCGCCCAGAGC
rnacentral:lncRNA from 1 species